AAAGUCGUAACAAGGUUUCCGUAGGUGAACCUGCGGAAGGAUCAUUAAUGAAUUAAAAACAAGGGGGAGUUGUUGCUGGCCGAAAGGUAUAGUGCACGCUCUCCUUUUGUUCAUUCAUCUCACACCUGUGCACCUAUCGUAGGCUGAGCAAUCGGCUUAUGUAUAUUUAUCACACCCUGUAAAGUCUUACGAAUGUACACAAGGCGCUUGCGUCUUUUAAAACUAAUACAACUUUCAACAACGGAUCUCUUGGCUCUC
rnacentral:misc_RNA from 1 species